AACGAACGCUGGCGGCAGGCUUAACACAUGCAAGUCGAGCGCCCCGCAAGGGGAGCGGCAGACGGGUGAGUAACGCGUGGGAAUCUACCCAUCUCUACGGAACAACUCCGGGAAACUGGAGCUAAUACCGUAUACGUCCUUCGGGAGAAAGAUUUAUCGGAGAUGGAUGAGCCCGCGUUGGAUUAGCUAGUUGGUGGGGUAAUGGCCUACCAAGGCGACGAUCCAUAGCUGGUCUGGGAGGAUGAUCAGCCACACUGGGACUGAGACACGGCCCAGACUCCUACGGGAGGCAGCAGUGGGGAAUAUUGGACAAUGGGCGCAAGCCUGAUCCAGCCAUGCCGCGUGAGUGAUGAAGGCCCUAGGGUUGUAAAGCUCUUUCAACGGUGAAGAUAAUGACGGUAACCGUAGAAGAAGCCCCGGCUAACUUCGUGCCAGCAGCCGCAGUAAUAC
rnacentral:rRNA from 1 species